AGUGAACGCUGGCGGUAGGCCUAACACAUGCAAGUCGAACGGCAGCACAGUAAGAGCUUGCUCUUGCGGGUGGCGAGUGGCGGACGGGUGAGGAAUACAUCGGAAUCUACUUUUUCGUGGGGGAUAACGUAGGGAAACUUACGCUAAUACCGCAUACGACCUACGGGUGAAAGCAGGGGAUCUUCGGACCUUGCGCGAUUGAAUGAGCCGAUGUCGGAUUAGCUAGUUGGCGGGGUAAAGGCCCACCAAGGCGACGAUCCGUAGCUGGUCUGAGAGGAUGAUCAGCCACACUGGAACUGAGACACGGUCCAGACUCCUACGGGAGGCAGCAGUGGGGAAUAUUGGACAAAGGGCGCAAGCCUAAUCCAGCCAUACCGCGUGGGUGAAGAAGGCCUUCGGGUUGUAAAGCCCUUUUGUUGGGAAAGAAAAGCAGCAGGUUAAUACCCCGCUGUUCUGACGGUACCCAAAGAAUAAGCACCGGCUAACUUCGUG
rnacentral:rRNA from 1 species